GAGUCCCCGAGGGAGGCUACGGUAGGAUAUCUUCCCUAGAGACAGGGUCUUGCUCUGUUGCCCAGGCAGGUCUUGAAUUCCUGGGCUCAAGCGAUCCUCCUGCCUCAGCCUCUUGAGUAGUUUACUACAAGAUCUUUUCUGGCCUGAGAAAGGGGGCCUCCCCUGUCUAGAGGGAGAUCGGGCUCUCCCUGUGAGUGGGCCAAGGAGCCUCUUGGAGAGGGUUUCUAGAUUUAGCAAAUAAAAAUACAGGGUACUCGGUUAAAUUUGAACUUGCAUUUCAGAUAAACGACGAAUAACUUUUUAGCAUGAGUAUUUCUCAUGCAAUAUUGGCUACAUACUUACACUUAAAAAAAAUUGUUACCUGAAAUUCAAAUGUAACUGGAUGCCCUGUGUUUUAUCUGGUAAUCCCAGUCUUGGAAGGAAAAGGAUCAAAUACGAACCCCCUAAUUCUCUGAGCCUUCUUGGUCCAGCCUACACAGCUGGAAGCCCAAAGGUGGCGCUCUUGGAGUCUGACCUCCCCUGGCACAGGGUUUGAGAUGGUCUUUACCCAGCUCCACUGGCCCAAAAGUAGCCCAUAGACCCAAAAGGGGCCUAGCACCUCUCCCCAGGGCAUCAGGAUGGGGCCCCAGGUCCCCAACUGGUUGUCCUGUGGACCUCAGGGAAUGACGACGCAGGAGUCAAGAGCCUCGGUUGCAGCUCCCGCUGUGCCGCCCACGACUGGCUCCGGGGUCAGAUGAUCUGCUGGUUCAAAUCCUGACUCAGCCUCCUACUAGCCAGGCCAGUCUCUAGACCCCUCCCAGCCUCCAUGUCCUCACCUGAGAAAACAGGGUCACAAUACCUGCCUUGCCAACGUGAUGAGGACCAGCGGAGAAGGUGAAAGGGCUUAUAUUCCAAAGCCCACAAGGUUGAAGAUGCACACCCGUGACACAGCCUCAGGAUGUCCUGACGACAUGUGCCAAGGUGGUCAUACGUUUUAGGGAGACAUGAGACAUCAAUCAACACAUGUAAGAUGAACAUUGGUUCAGUCUGGAAAAGGCCGGGCAACGCCAAGCAAAUGUGGGACAACUCGCAGCCAGGAGAAAGCUUCCAGGUCACAGAUGAAGAGCAUCUGUAUACAUCCAGAAUCCUGUGGAGCAACUCAUAACCCAUGAGGAAUGGAAGCCGACAGACAGACUCAUCCCCAGGACAGGUGGUUCUCACUACAUCUCAUAAAGCUUCUUAGAAGAUCUUACAGGAUUGAGCAACCAGCCAGCCACAGCAGGGGCCAACUGGAUAACACGUCUUUGCAUAGGCUCUCCCUCUGUCCCUGUCACCCUCCCCUUUUCCUAACCUUGUUCCUUGGGAUUAUGUUUUGAAAUAAAUUAUUCAGAGAAAUGAAGCCAAAGCUGACCCAUUAGCCAAUAGCUAGGUUCUGUGAUGACAGAGCUUCUGGGCUAUAAUCGUUUACUGAGAAGCCAGCGUUCCUGAGGGGAUAAUGGCUCGUUCCAUUCAGCUGCAGCAUAGGAGUGAGGGCAGGGCAUUAGCAGAAGAUAACACCAGAAACGUGCUCUGGGGCCUGUUGAUGACUUUCUGUGCCAAGCACAGACAUUUAGCCUUUAUUCUGUAUGUGAUGGGAAGCCAGUGCCAGUGGUGGGUUUGAGCAGGGAACCAGCAACCAGUGGUGGGUUUGAGCAGGGAACCAGCAAUACUCAAGCUCUGCUUGGAUGGAGGCCAGUCAGGGAGGAGUUAGGGCAGGAGGACCAGUCAGGGAGGAGACUUAGGGCAGGAGGACCAGUCAGGGAGGAGACUUAGGGCAGGAGGACCGGUCAGGGAGGAGACUUAGGGCAGGAGUACUGGUCAGGGAGGAGACUUAGGGCAGGAGGACCGGUCAGGGAGGAGACUUAGGGCAGGAGGACCGGUCAGGGAGGAGACUUAGGGCAGGAGGACCGGUCAGGGAGGAGUUAGGGCUGGAGGACGGGUCAGGGAGGAGACUUAGGGCAGGAGGACCGGUCAGGGAGGAGUUAGGGCUGGAGGACCGGUCAGGGAGGAGUUAGGGCAGGAGGACUGGUCAGGGAGGAGACUUAGGGCAGGAGGACCGGUCAGGGAGGAGACUUAGGGCAGGAGGACCGGUCAGGGAGGAGACUUAGGGCAGGAGGACUGGUCAGGGAGGAGACUUAGGGCAGGAGGACAGGUCAGGGAGGAGUUAGGGCUGGAGGACGGGUCAGGGAGGAGUUAGGGCUGGAGGACCGGUCAGGGAGGAGUUAGGGCAGGAGGACAGGUCAGGGAGGAGUUAGGGGAGGAGGACCGGUCAGGGAGGAGUUAGGGCAGGAGGACGGGUCAGGGAGGAGUUAGGGGAGGAGGACUGGUCAGGGAGGAGUUAGGGCUGGAGGACCGGUCAGGGAGGAGUUAGGGCAGGAGGACCGGUCAGGGAGGAGUUAGGGCUGGAGGACCGGUCAGGGAGGAGUUAGGGCAGGAGGACCGGUCAGGGAGGAGUUAGGGCAGGAGGACCGGUCAGGGAGGAGACUUAGGGCAGGAGGACUGGUCAGGGAGGAGUUAGGGCUGGAGGACCGGUCAGGGAGGAGUUAGGGCAGGAGGACUGGUCAGGGAGGAGUUAGGGCAGGAGGACAGGUCAGGGAGGAGUUAGGGCAGGAGGAUCGGUCAGGGAGGAGUUAGGGCAGGAGGACCGGUCAGGGAGGAGUUAGGGCAGGAGGACCGGUCAGGGAGGAGUUAGGGCAGGAGGACAGGUCAGGGAGGAGACUUAGGGCUGGAGGACUGGUCAGGGAGGAGUUAGGGCAGGAGGACCAGUUAGGAGGCAGUGACUUAGGACUUCAGCAGUGGCACUAGAAAGGGGAUGGAUAUGAACGACAUUGCAAAGUAAAACUAGAGAGACGGCCGGGCACAGUGGCUCACUCCUGUAAUCCCAGCACUUUGGGAGGCCAAGGCGGGUGGAUCAUGAGGUCAGGAGAUCGAGACCAGCCUGGCCAACAUGGUGAAACCCUAUCUCUACUAGAAAAAAAAAAAAAUAGCCAGGCGUGGUGGCGGGCGCCUGUAAUCCCAGCUACUCCAGAGGCUGAGGCAGGAGAAUUUGCUUGAACCAGGGAGUCGGAAGUUGCAGUGAGCUGAGAUCGCACCACUGCACUCCAGCCUGGGCAAUAGAGUGAGACUCCGUCUCAAUAACAAAACAAACAAACAAAAACCUAGAGAGACUUGGCACCUUGCAGAGAGAAGCAAAAGAUGACCCUGAGGUCUGGAGUCCAGGAAGCCAAGGACAGCAAAAGCAUCCACAGAAACAGGAAAAGGGCAGGUGUGGGAGGGAAGGUGAGAGGUUCAUCAGACCUCACAGCCCCUGGCAGCGCCUCCUGGAUCUUUGAAAUCCUGUGCACCCCAGGAGACUCCGGGAGGCCCAUCUGAGCUCACCGGAGACAGGUCUGCCGUCUCUCCUCUCAUCACUGGGGACAGAAAGCCUGAACAUGAGGCCUGGACUACGGGGCUCAGACCAGAAUAUUUCCAGACUUAAGGGCAGUAAUGUGGAGCCCAGGAAGGAAUAUUGAGGACAGAGGGCACAUUACUUAGCUCAAGGGGUGCUGGGUUCUUAUUUUCUACUUUCAAGAAAUGUUUGCUAUAGUCACUGUAACCACCACAAAACAGUGAAUAAUACCAUGAGCCAAAUGUAUGUUUCACAAUUUGUAUGGCUGAUUCUACGCACAUUUAAAUGUGUUUAUGACAAUUGUAGAUUUCGGUUUUCCUCUGG
rnacentral:lncRNA from 10 species